rnacentral:rRNA from 1 species
UGAGUAACGCGUGAGAACCUGCCUCGAGGAGGGGGAUAACAGCGGGAAACGGCUGCUAAUACCCCAUAUGCCGAAAGGUGAAAAGAAAUUUGCCUUGAGAGGGGCUCGCGUCCGAUUAGCUAGUUGGUGAGGUAAGAGCUUACCAAGGCGACGAUCGGUAGCUGGUCUGAGAGGAUGAGCAGCCACACUGGGACUGAGACACGGCCCAGACUCCUACGGGAGGCAGCAGUGGGGAAUUUUCCGCAAUGGGCGAAAGCCUGACGGAGCAACGCCGCGUGGGGGAAGAAGGCCUUUGGGUUGUAAACUCCUUUUCUCAGGGAAGAAGUUCUGACGGUACCUGAGGAAUCAGCCUCGGCUAACUCCGUGCCAGCAGCCGCGGUAAUACGGAGGAGGCAAGCGUUAUCCGGAAUUAUUGGGCGUAAAGCGUUCGUAGGCGGCAUUUCAAGUCUGCUGUCAAAGGCCGAGGCUCAACUUCGGAAAGGCAGUGGAAACUGAAAAGCUAGAGGUCGGUAGGGGCAGAGGGAAUUCCCAGUGUAGCGGUGAAAUGCGUAGAUAUUGGGAAGAACACCGGUGGCGAAAGCGCUCUGCUGGGCCGAACCUGACGCUGAGGGACGAAAGCUAGGGGAGCGAAUGGGAUUAGAUACCCCAGUAGUCCUAGCCGUAAACGAUGGAGACUAGGUGUUGCCUGUAUCGACCCGGGCAGUGCCGAAGCCAACGCGUUAAGUCUCCCGCCUGGGGAGUACGCACGCAAGUGUGAAACUCAAAGGAAUUGACGGGGGCCCGCACAAGCGGUGGAGUAUGUGGUUUAAUUCGAUGCAACGCGAAGAACCUUACCAGGGCUUGACAUCCCGCGAAUCUCGGCGAAAGUUGAAUGUGCCUACGGGAACGCGGAGACAGGUGGUGCAUGGCUGUCGUCAGCUCGUGUCGUGAGAUGAUGGGUUAAAUCCCGGAACGAGCGCA